rnacentral:rRNA from 1 species
GAUGAACGCUGGCGGCGUGCCUAAUACAUGCAAGUAGAACGCUGAAGGAGGAGCUUGCUCUUCUGGAUGAGUUGCGAACGGGUGAGUAACGCGUAGGUAACCUGCCUGGUAGCGGGGGAUAACUAUUGGAAACGAUAGCUAAUACCGCAUGACAACAGUUAUUGCAUGAUAACUGUUUAAAAGGGGCAACUGCUCCACUACAAGAUGGACCUGCGUUGUAUUAGCUAGUUGGUGAGGUAACGGCUCACCAAGGCGACGAUACAUAGUCGAGCUGCGAGGGUGUGCGGCCACAAUGGGACUGAGACACGGCGCAGACUCCUAGGGGAGGCAGCAGGAGGGCAGCUUCGGCGAUGGACGGAAGUCUGACCGAGGAACGCCGCGUGAGUGAAGAAGGUUUUCGGUUCGUAAAGCUCAGUUGUAAGUGAAGAACGAGUGUGAGAGUGGAAAGGUCACUCUGUGACGUUAGCUUACCAGAAAGGGACGGCUAACUACGUG